AACCAAAGGGGGCGAGCGUAAGCAGCUCUCACCGAAGGAGGAGCCUGCGUCCGAUUAGCUAGUUGGUGGGGUAAUGGCUUACCAAGGCGACGAUCGGUAGCCGGCCUGAGAGGGCGAUCGGCCACACUGGAACUGAGACACGGUCCAGACUCCUACGGGAGGCAGCAGUGGGGAAUAUUGCGCAAUGGGCGAAAGCCUGACGCAGCGACGCCGCGUGGGUGAUGAAGGCCUUCGGGUCGUAAAGCCCUGUCUGGUGGAACGAAACGCCUGGCGGCCAAUACCUGCUGGGUUUGACGGUACCACCGAAGGAAGCCCCGGCUAACUACGGGCCAGCAGCCGCGGUAAGACGUAGGGGGCGAGCGUUGUUCGGAUUUACUGGGCGUAAAGCGCGCGUAGGCGGCCAGAUAAGUCGGGUGUGAAAGCCCUCGGCUCAACCAAGGUUCCGCAUCCGAUACUGCUUGGCUGGAGUCUAGGAGAGGAGAGCGGAAUUCCCAGUGUAGCGGUGAAAUGCGUAGAUAUUGGGAGGAACACCCGUGGCGAAGGCGGCUCUCUGGACUAGUACUGACGCUGAGGCGCGAAAGCUAGGGGAGCGAACGGGAUUAGAUACCCCGGUAGUCCUAGCCGUAAACGAUGGGCACUAGGUGUGGGAGGUAUUGACCCCUUCCGCGCCGAAGCUAACGCAUUAAGUGCCCCGCCUGGGGAGUACGGCCGCAAGGCUAAAACUCAAAGGAAUUGACGGGGGCCCGCACAAGCGGUGGAGCAUGUGGUUCAAUUCGACGCAACGCGAAGAACCUUACCAGGGCUUGACAUCCCACGAACCUGCCUGAAAGGGCGGGGUGCCCGCAAGGGAGCGCGGAGA
rnacentral:rRNA from 1 species